GUGCUUGCUUCGGCAGCACGUAUACUACAAUUGGAACAAUACAGAGAAGAUUAGCAUGGCCCCUGUGCAAGGAUGACACGCAAAUUUGUGAAGCGUUCCAUAUUUUU
rnacentral:snRNA from 1 species